rnacentral:rRNA from 1 species
CGCGGCCUAUCAGCUUGUUGGUGGGGUAAUGGCCUACCAAGGCGACGACGGGUAGCCGGCCUGAGAGGGUGACCGGCCACACUGGGACUGAGACACGGCCCAGACUCCUACGGGAGGCAGCAGUGGGGAAUAUUGCACAAUGGGCGAAAGCCUGAUGCAGCGGCGCCGCGUGAGGGAUGACGGCCUUCGGGUUGUAAACCUCUUUCGCCAGGGACGAAGCGCAAGUGACGGUACCUGGAUAAGAAGCACCGGCUAACUACGUGCCAGCAGCCGCGGUAAUACGUAGGGUGCGAGCGUUGUCCGGAUUUAUUGGGCGUAAAGAGCUCGUAGGCGGUUUGUCGCGUCGGCCGUGAAAUCUCCACGCUUAACGUGGAGCGUGCGGUCGAUACGGGCAGACUUGAGUUCGGUAGGGGAGACUGGAAUUCCUGGUGUAGCGGUGAAAUGCGCAGAUAUCAGGAGGAACACCGGUGGCGAAGGCGGGUCUCUGGGCCGAUACUGACGCUGAGGAGCGAAAGCGUGGGGAGCGAACAGGAUUAGAUACCCUGGUAGCCCACGCUGUAAACGUUGGGCGCUAGGUGUGGGCGACAUCCACGUUGUCCGUGCCGUAGCUAACGCAUUAAGCGCCCCGCCUGGGGAGUACGG